GGGGGGGGGGGCGUGCCUAACCAUGCAACUCGAACGAAGCGCCCGCGCGGAUUCCCUCGGGAUGAAGCGCGGAUGACCGAGUGGCGGACGGGUGAGUCACGCGUGGGCAACCUGCCCCGUGCCGGGGGACAACAGCCGGAAACGGCUGCUAAUACCGCAUGAUCCGGGAGGGCCGCAUGGCCCUGCCGGGAAAGCUCCGGCGGCACGGGAUGGGCCCGCGUCUGAUUAGUUUGUUGGCGGGGUAACGGCCCACCAAGACUGCGAUCAGCAGCCGGCCUGAGAGGGCGGCCGGCCACAUUGGGACUGAGACACGGCCCAGACUCCUGCGGGAGGCAGCAGUGGGGAAUAUUGCACAAUGGGGGAAACCCUGAUGCAGCGACGCCGCGUGGGCGACGAAGCGCUCCGGCGCGUAAAGCCCUGUCAGCAGGGAAGAACAAAGACAGUACCUGACCAAGAAGCCCCGGCUAACUACGUGCCAGCAGCCGCGGUAAUACGUAGGGGGCAAGCGUUAUCCGGAUUCACUGGGCGUAAAGGGAGCGCAGGCGGCACGGCAAGUCUGGUGUGAAAGCCCGGGGCCCAACCCCGGGACUGCAUUGGAAACUGCCGGGCUGGAGUGCCGGAGGGGUAAGCGGAAUUCCUGGUGUAGCGGUGAAAUGCGCAGAUAUCAGGAAGAACACCGGUGGCGGAGGCGGCUUACUGGACGGCAACUGACGCUGAGGCUCGAAAGCGUGAGGAAGCAACAGGAUUACA
rnacentral:rRNA from 1 species